rnacentral:lncRNA from 1 species
CCUUCGAAAAUAUUGAGUUUUUGGUAAAUACUUUAUAUAGUGAAGCCAAUAAUCUUUAGUGUUGUUUUAAAAUUUCUAACCAUAUUCUACAUUUGUAUUAAUGUAUUUUAAGCUCAUUUUCAUGGUAUAUGAGAAUUGUUAUAAUUUUCUUAUCAAUUAAUUUAGUAAAACUUCAUAAUACUCCCUAAAUCAAUGAAAUAACUACUAUAAAAUAAAUAUUUUCUCGAAAAACGGAGACAACAAAGGCUCCAAACCUCUUUGAACAUCA